rnacentral:rRNA from 1 species
CCUACGGGAGGCAGCAGUGGGGAAUAUUGCGCAAUGGGCGAAAGCCUGACGCAGCGACGCCGCGUGAGGGAUGAAGGUCUUCGGAUUGUAAACCUCUGUCAGCAGGGAAGAACGGUCACUGUGCUAAUCAGCAGUGAAUUGACGGUACCUGCAAAGGAAGCACCGGCUAACUCCGUGCCAGCAGCCGCGGUAAUACGGAGGGUGCGAGCGUUAAUCGGAAUUACUGGGCGUAAGGCGCUCGUAGGCGGUAUGGCAAGUCAAGGGUGAACUCCCCGGGCUCAACGUGGGGACUGCCUUUGAUACUGGCAGACUGGAGUGUGGGAGAGGGUAGUGGAAUUCCAGGUGUAGGAGUGAAAUGCGUAGAGAUCGGGAGGAACAUCAGUGGCGAAGGCGACUAUCUGGAACAUAACUGACGCUGAGGAGCGAAAGCGUGGGUAGCAAACAGGAUUAGAUACCCGGGUAGUC